rnacentral:lncRNA from 12 species
UAUGGCAGCAGAGAGGUCCAGUGUGCACGUCUUCCUGGAGUCUCAGUCCCAGAGCAGGUAAGCAGUUGACCUUUCAUUUCCAAUUCUCUCUCCUCAGCUUCUCCUAAAGGGCUGGAUGGGGGUCCCAGGCUGGGUUCCAUUUCUACUCUUAGUUUGGGCCCAAUGAGAUACAAGACUACACAAACAACCUUGACCUCCUUGGGUCUCUAAAUAUCAAACUUGAAGAAUCAGUUACCACUAUCGGGACCCUGUUUCACUAAUCAGACCUGCAGUCCCAAUGGGUGGUCAGUUACAAUAUUUUGCUACAUAGGGAGCCCAAGUCUACUAGAUUUAAACGCAUAACUAUGACUCACCUCCUCCCCAUUAUCCCCAACAUUUGAGAUCGAAUAUACAUAGCUCAUAAUAAGUUAAUCAUCAACAUGAUUCAUUAAUUUAAUGAAUAAGCAGCUGUUGACUCUUUCAGUGUCCUUCGCAUUAUGUCAGGUGAUGGGGACAAAACAUUGGGGGGGGGGGGAUCAACCACUUUUUCUGGAAGCUUGAUCCUGAACCAAAAACCCCAAUCAAAUGGAUAAUAUCCUGAAUCCAGUAAAGAUAUCUCAUUAUAUCAUGAGAAUGUAUAAUUAGGUACUUCGUUCUUUAUUUCACUCAUUAGGACCUUGUUGAUUCAAUGCUCUGUACUUGAGCAGCUGAUGUGUUGUCUGAUUACCCACUGCUCCAUCUUAUUCGGCCAGUCCAGUCCACGUAGAGGAAUAUUUGAUGAUCGACUUUAAUAGAAUGCAGGGGUCCUAAUGUGCCAAAUAUCUCUGGGUUCUCCAUUCUCAUCUGCUAUCCACCCUGCUCUCUGCCCUAGGAGACUAGCCAGAAGUUCAUCGUUGUUGGGCUCCACCAUUGGAAGUCCCGACAUGGAAUCAGAGCAAAAGAAAAGAGCAAAUCCAGCUUCUUCUUCCAGUUCCCUCCCCGUGAAUUGGCUUUGGGUUCUGGCCACCAAGAUUAAGAAAACCAGGGUGGGGCAGCCCGGGUGGCUCAGCGGUUUAGCGCCGCCUGCAGCCCAGGGCGUGAUCCUGGAGACCAUGGAUCGAGUCCCACGUCAGGCUCCCUGCAUGAAGCCUGCUUCUCCCUCUGCCUGUGUCUCUGCCUCUCUCUCUCUCUGCAUCUCUAUGAAUAAAUAAAUAAAAAUCUUUAAAAAAAAAAAAAAGAAAACCAGGGUGAAUAUAAUGAUUUUAAAACCAUGUGCUUACCACUUUCCCAACCUCAUCUGGGAGCGCAUCCCCUUAAAUUCUUCCCAAAGACUUCAGAGGGUGAAGGAUCAGAAUCAUUAAAAGCAUCAAAAUAGCAGCUACAUUUUUAUUUUUUUUAUUUUUUAAUUUUUUAAUUUUAUUUUUUUAACAGCUACAUUUUUAUUUUUUUAUUUAUUUAUUUUAUUUUUUAUUUUUUUAUUUUAUUAUUUUUAGCAGCUACAUUUUUAUUUAUUUAUUUAUUUAUUUUUAUUUAUUUAAUUUUUUUAGCAGCUACAUUUUUAAAGCACUUAUUUCGAUCAGGUCCUUUUGUGUCACCAUGCAAACAUUAUCUUGUUUAACAUCCCACCUAACCGCAUAGAGUAGGUUCUAGUAUUGCUUCCAUUGUACAGCAUCACUAAUCAAGGCUUAUUGAAUUGGAGAAAUAAUUCUAGUGACAUUAAUAAACAGCAGAGGGAGAGUCUAACA